rnacentral:rRNA from 1 species
GCGGCUCAACCGUAAAAUUGCAGUUGAUACUGGGUGUCUUGAGUACAGUAGAGGCAGGCGGAAUUCGUGGUGUAGCGGUGAAAUGCUUAGAUAUCACGAAGAACUCCGAUUGCGAAGGCAGCCUGCUGGACUGUAACUGACGCUGAUGCUCGAAAGUGUGGGUAUCAAACAGGAUUAGAUACCCUGGUAGUCCACACAGUAAACGAUGAAUACUCGCUGUUUGCGAUAUACAGUAAGCGGCCAAGCGAAAGCGUUAAGUAUUCCACCUGGGGAGUACGCCGGCAACGGUGCAACUCAAAUGAAUUGACGG